CGUUAUUAGUCUUUAAAAUUCUCAGGUAUCUGAAUUUAUUUUCUCUACUAAAUUGUGCAAUUAUUUCUAUGUGAACCCUAAUUUCAGUUAUUUUAUUUUAUUUUUUUUUUUUUUUUUUUUUUGCCCCAAACAUG